GACGAACGCUGGCGGCGUGCCUAAUACAUGCCAGUUGAGCGCUGAAGGUUGGUACUUGUACCAACUGGAUGAGCAGCGAACGGGUGAGUAACGCGUGGGGAAUCUGCCUUUGAGCGGGGGACAACAUUUGGAAACGAAUGCUAAUACCGCAUAAAAACUUUAAACACAAGUUUUAAGUUUGAAAGAUGCAAUUGCAUCACUCAAAGAUGAUCCCGCGUUGUAUUAGCUAGUUGGUGAGGUAAAGGCUCACCAAGGCGAUGAUACAUAGCCGACCUGAGAGGGUGGUCGGCCAAAUUGGGACUGAGACACGGCCCAAACUCCUACGGGAGGCAGCAGUAGGGAAUCUUCGGCAAUGGACGAAAGUCUGACCGAGCAACGCCGCGGGAGUGAAGAAGGGUUUCGGAUCGUAAAACUCUGUUGGUAGAGAAGAACGUUGGUGAGAGUGGAAAGCUCAUCAAGUGACGGUAACUACCCAGAAAGGGACGGCUAACUACGUG
rnacentral:rRNA from 1 species